GACGAACGCUGGCGGCGGGCUUAACACAUGCAAGUCGAACGGAAAGGCCCUGCUUUUGUGGGGUGCUCGAGUGGCGAACGGGUGAGUAACACGUGAGUAACCUGCCCAGGACUGUGGGAUAACUUCAGGAAACUGGGGCUAAUACCGGAUAGGAGCUCCUGCUGCAGGGUGGGGGUCGGAAAGUUUGGGCGGUUGGGGAUGGAUUGUCGGCUUAUCAGCUUGUUGGGGGGGUAGUGGCUUACCAAGGCUUUGACGGGUAGCCGGCCUGAGAGGGUGACCGGCCACAUUGGGACUGAGAUACGGCCCAGACUCCUAAGGGAGGCAGCAGUGGGAAGUAUUACACAAUGGGCGGGAGCCUGAUGCAGCAACGCAGCGUGCGGGAUGACGGCCUUCUUGUUGUAAACCGCAUUCGCCUGUGACGAAGCGUGAGUGACGGUAAUGGGUAAAGAAGCACCGGCUAACUACGUG
rnacentral:rRNA from 1 species